UUUUGCACAGGAAGAAACACUCGGACGUGUCCGAGCUUGACGGUACUGUGAGAAUAAGGAUCGGCUAACUCCGUGCCAGCAGCCGCGGUAAUACGGAGGAUCCAAGCGUUAUCCGGAAUCAUUGGGUUUAAAGGGUCCGUAGGCGGUUUUGUAAGUCAGUGGUGAAAGCCCAUCGCUCAACGGUGGAACGGCCAUUGAUACUGCAAGACUUGAAUUAUUAGGAAGUAACUAGAAUAUGUAGUGUAGCGGUGAAAUGCUUAGAGAUUACAUGGAAUACCAAUUGCGAAGGCAGGUUACUACUAAUGGAUUGACGCUGAUGGACGAAAGCGUGGGGAGCGAACAGGAUUAGAUACCCUGGUAGUCCACGCCGUAAACGAUGGAUACUAGCUGUUCGGAGCAAUCUGAGUGGCUAAGCGAAAGUGAUAAGUAUCCCACCUGGGGAGUACGUUCGCAAGAAUGAAACUCAAAGGAAUUGACGG
rnacentral:rRNA from 1 species